rnacentral:rRNA from 1 species
UGAGUAAUGUCUGGGAAACUGCCUGAUGGAGGGGGAUAACUACUGGAAACGGUAGCUAAUACCGCAUAACGUCGCAAGACCAAAGUGGGGGACCUUCGGGCCUCAUGCCAUCAGAUGUGCCCAGAUGGGAUUAGCUAGUAGGUGAGGUAAUGGCUCACCUAGGCGACGAUCCCUAGCUGGUCUGAGAGGAUGACCAGCCACACUGGAACUGAGACAUGGUCCAGACUCCUACGGGAGGCAGCAGUGGGGAAUAUUGCACAAUGGGCGCAAGCCUGAUGCAGCCAUGCCGCGUGUAUGAAGAAGGCCUUCGGGUUGUAAAGUACUUUCAGCGAGGAGGAAGGCAUUAAGGUUAAUAACCUUAGUGAUUGACGUUACUCGCAGUAGAAGCACCGGCUAACUCCGUGCCAGCAGCCGCGGUAAUACGGAGGGUGCAAGCGUUAAUUGGAAUUACUGGGCGUAAAGCGCACGCAGGCGGUCUGUCAAGUCGGAUGUGAAAUCCCCGGG